rnacentral:rRNA from 1 species
GACGAACGCUGGCGGCGUGCUUAACACAUGCAAGUCGAACGGAAAGGCCCUGCUUUUGUGGGGUGCUCGAGUGGCGAACGGGUGAGUAACACGUGAGUAACCUGCCCUUGACUUUGGGAUAACUUCAGGAAACUGGGGCUAAUACCGGAUAGGAGCUCCUGCUGCAUGGUGGGGGUUGGAAAGUUUCGGCGGUUGGGGAUGGACUCGCGGCUUAUCAGCUUGUUGGUGGGGUAGUGGCUUACCAAGGCUUUGACGGGUAGCCGGCCUGAGAGGGUGACCGGCCACAUUGGGACUGAGAUACGGCCCAGACUCCUACGGGAGGCAGCAGUGGGGAAUCUUGCACAAUGGGCGGAAGCCUGAUGCAGCAACGCCGCGUGCGGGAUGACGGCCUUCGGGUUGUAAACCGCUUUCGCCUGUGACGAAGCGUGAGUGACGGUAAUGGGUAAAGAAGCACCGGCUACCUACGUG